AUUGAACGCUGGCGGCAUGCCUAACACAUGCAAGUCGAACGGCAGCACGGGAGCUUGCUCCUGGUGGCGAGUGGCGGACGGGUGAGUAAUGCAUAGGAAUCUGCCCAGUAGCGGGGGACAACUUGGGGAAACUCAAGCUAAUACCGCAUGCGCCCUACGGGGGGAAANCGGGGGACCUUCGGGCCUCGCACUAUUGGAUGAGCCUAUGUCAGAUUAGCUUGUUGGUGGGGUAACGGCCUACCAAGGCGACGAUCUGUAGCUGGUCUGAGAGGACGAUCAGCCACACUGGGACUGAGACACGGCCCAGACUCCUACGGGAGGCAGCAGUGGGGAAUAUUGCACAAUGGGCGAAAGCCUGAUGCAGCAAUGCCGCGUGUAGUGAAGAAGGCCUGAGGGUUGUAAAGCA
rnacentral:rRNA from 1 species